AGUUUGAUUCUGGCUCCAGAUUGAACGCUGGCAGGAUGCUUUACACAUGCAAGUCGAACGCUUGGCACGGACUCCGAAGUCUGGUGGCGAAGUGGCGGGCGGGUGAGUAAUGUAUCGGAACGUGCCUAGUAGCUGGGGAUAACUACGCGAAAGCGCUAAUACCACAUACGCCCUUCAGGAAAGCGGGGGUGCUUCGGGCCUCGCACUAUUAGAGCGGCCGAUAUCGGAUUAUUAGUUGGUGGGGUAACGGCUCACCAAGGCGACGAUCCGUAGC
rnacentral:misc_RNA from 1 species